GUUUUACAACCUUUUUGCCUUUCUAGAAUUAAAUACAAUAACUUUUUUAUCCUCACAUCUACCAGUAGAAAUUUGCUUAACAAAAGUCAAGAAAGAAGACAUAUUCAGAGGCAACCAUUCAGAUGUAACUGAUUUCAUUCUUGAAGGCUUCAGGGUCCGCCCAGAGUUCUACAUUCUCCUCUUCUUCCUGUUCCUGCUGGUCUAUAGCAUGGUUCUUUUGGGGAACAUUAGUGUGAUGACAAUCAUUGUAACUGACUCCCAGCUGAACACACCAAUGUAUUUUUUUCUAGGCAACCUCUCCUUCAUUGACAUCUCCUACUCCACUGUUAUUGCUCCUAAAGCCAUGGCCAACUUCCUGUCUGAAAAAAAGACAGUCUCUUUUGCAGGUUGUGUUGCCCAGUUAUUCCUUUUUGCCCUGUUCAUUGUAACAGAGGGGUUUAUCCUGGCAGCCAUGGCCUAUGACCGCUUCAGUGCCAUCUGCAAUCCUCUUCUUUAUAGUGUUCACAUGUCAAGACGCCUCUGCACUCAGUUGGUUGCUGGUUCUUAUUUCUGUGGCUGGGUCAGUUCCAUCCUCCAAGUCAGUGUAACAUUCUCAGUUUCCUUCUGUGCUUCCAGAGUCAUUGAUCACUUCUACUGUGAUUCUCAUCAAAUUGAAAAGAUUUCCUGUUCUAAUCUCUUUGUCAAUAAGAUGGUAUCUCUGAGUUUGAGUGUCAUCAUUAUUUUGCCUACAAUUGUUGUUAUUAUAGUAUCUUACAUGUACAUUGUAUCCUCAGUCUUGAAGAUCCCCUCCAGUGAAGGGAGAAAGAAAGCCUUUUCCACUUGCAGCUCCCAUCUGGGUGUUGUAAAUUUGCUCUAUGGGACUGUUUCCUUUGUGUACCUCACACCUCCAAGCAAUCCUGAACUUCGCAAAGUGGCUUCCGUAUUUUACAUAUUGGUUACACCCAUGUUAAACCCUCUGAUCUACUCUCUAAGAAAUAAAGAUGUCAAAGAAGCUUUGAGAAAAAUCCUGUGUAACAAAAAAGCUUUAUCCUAAUUCUACUUUCUUAUGAUUUCCUCGUUAAUGGGUCCAUUGAUUCUUUCAUUUUGAUUUGCUUUUAAUAUGGAGCCAAGCUUGAGUCACUUAAGAUCCUUUAACAUUGAACAAAUAAAAGAGAUUUAAUAGGAGCAAACCUUGAUACUUUCUUCAGCAAUCCUUUCUAUCGAUUUUAUCAUAUUUGGAAAUCUGAAGUACUUAACAAUUUACAUUUAAAAGCAUAUGCUUGAAUCAGGAAAAUCAUAGCAAUGUGGAAACAAAAUACUACUUGAAAAAUAUAAAUACCCUCAUUCAUUAAAAUACAACAUCAAUACAAGAGUUAAUGGAUGCUGGGCUUCAUACUUUGGUGAUGGGAUCAUCUGAGCAGUAAACCACCAUGGCACACAUAACAAACCCACACAUCUGGCACAUGUACUGCUGAACUUAAAAGUCGAAGAAAAAUUAAAUGUGAUCAUUUUGUCUUCCAAACAUUUGUUGUAUUGAUGCUGUUUUGUUUUGUUUUGUUUUUGAGAUGGAGUCUCCCUCUGUCACCCAGGCUGGUGUGCAGUGGCGUGAUCUCGGCUCACUGUAAGCUUCGCCUCCCGGGUUCACGCCAUUCUCCUGCCUCAGCAGGAGUAUGCUGGGACUACAGGCGCCCGCCACCAUGCCCUGGCUAAUUGUUUGUAUUUUUAGUAGAGAGGGGGUUUCACCGUGUUAGCCAGGAUGGUCUUGAUCUCCUGGCCUCGUGAUCUGCCUGCCUCGGCCUCCCAAAGUGCUGGGAUUACAGUCAUGAGCCACCGCGCCCGGCCUCCAUAUAAAUGCUGUAUUUUAAUGAAUGAGGGUAUUUAUAUUAUAUGUGAAAGUAUCAAGGUUUGCUGCUAUUAUAUCUCUUUUAUUUUUUCAAUGGGAUAAAAUUGUAAUGUUGAUGGAAAGAUGUAGAAGUAAGGGGAUGUUGUAAAAAUGUCAUACUAUUUCAUGAAUGUUUGCUUACUUCCAUAAUAUUAGAAUACAUCAAUUUAGUGAAUCAAUUUUUUGAAAGAUCCCAGUGAUCAUAGGGAGUAUGAUUCAAAUUCCUUUCAAAGUUUAAAAAAGGAGAAGUAGAAUAGGGAGAGAUGGGGAAUAGUAGAACAGAAGUACCCUGGCAUGUAACAUAAUCUUAAUUUUAAAAAAAAAGGCUUCUCAGUUCUUAUGCAUUCCAAUUAGAAAGUUAGAAAAAUUUCUUAACCAAAGACCACAAUAUCUUUUAUCACAGUAAAGAUCAUUUUUAUACUAUUCCAAAUGUGGUUCUCUAUUUAAAAAAUAGAUUUUAUUCAUUUCUUACCAUUAUUUCCAAUAAGUCAAUUAAUAUUAUAUCGUCACCUUCUGUGUUUCAACUACAAACAUCUCUUUUUCAUUUGCUUUAUUGAGUGUAUUCCAGGUAGGUUUACAUGUAUGUAAAACAUUGAAAAUCACUUUGGCUAAAGUAAACAAGAGGGAUAUAUUGGGUGUGUAUGUGGAGCACACUAAAUAAAGAGAAAAACAAGGGAAAAAGUCUUGUAAUUGUUUAGGAAUUAAGGCAUCUCAACGAAUCAAGGAACAACUGCUGAAGAGUCUGCUAGCAGAAUUCAGUCUCACUGAGUGUUACAUGUGAACUCCAUGCAUUUUCAAACUUUUUUUUUCAUUUGAUGUAAAUUUGAGUUCUGAUAGAGAUCAUCAUGUAGACCCAGUUUUGGGUAGUAGCCUGCCCUUAUACUAGAGGAUGGCUAGACCCUUGAUUAUGACUUUAUCUAAUUAGAAGUCUGCAAAGCAUAAUGGCACACCUAAUAAGUGGCUAAAAUUUAAAAAACUGACAAUGUUAAAUACUGGUGAAAAUGCAGAGCAAUAGGAAUGCUCAUUCAUUGCUGUUGAGGAUGGAAAAUAGUACAGCAGACAGUGUGGCAUCUAUGCAGCCAAUUAACUGUACAAACCAGCAUUUGUGCUUCUGUGUAUUUACCUCACUGAUUUGAAAACUUAUGUUCACAUAAAAACUGCACAUGAAAUAUUUGUCUUUCUGUGUCCAGCUUGUUUCACUUAAGAUAAUAACCUCCAGUUAUUAGUUGUUGCAAAAGACAGGAUUUCAUCAUUUUUAUGGCUGCAUAGUAUUCCAUUGUAUAUAUAUAUGACAUUUUCUUUACCCAG
rnacentral:sRNA from 1 species